AAAUCAAUCCUCCAUACCCACAGGUUGCUGCACUCAGAAAAUGGUAUUUGCUUCCACAAAAAUUAACUACCAAGAAAUACAUGUGCAUAUCCAUAAACUGACAUUUACUUGUUUAAAUUUAUAUUCCUUGGGCCACAUCAAAUGAACAAUUGCUGAUCGCAUACACCAAAAAGAGUAUAACUUCAACAGGUUCUCUUCAGCUUAUUCCUUUUGAAGAUGAGAUCAUAUCAAUUGCCAAUGCACAUCAACAUCUUCCGGACAGAUAGUUUUCGUACAAAGUUGAAUUUUCACUAUUGGAUGAAAAUCAACAAUUCUAUAUUUUAGCCUGUUCAACAUGCAAACAAAUCUUUACUAGGCUUCAUUCACGGAGGAGAUUCUAUUGUGCAACUUGCCGCUGUUCCGCAAAUCUUAUUCCAAGAUGCCAAUCUGACAUCACCAUCACAAACAACAGUGGUUCAGCAACAUCACUAAUCGUAGACCAAGCUGCUGAAACAAUGUUGCAUCUCACUUCAGAAGAGAUCUAUGACAUUCGCUGCACAAAGAAACAAAUGUUGCCUCUUGCAAAUGUGACAAGACAAUUAACUGGAAAGACAUUCACCAUUCAAGUGAAAAAGUCAUUUGCUAAAACUAUGGAUGGAACUCCUACAAAAUUAAUUAUCUUGUCGUAUGCGGAAAAAGAAAACAUCAUCAGUGCACCAUCAUCACCAGCUCCAAUGGACACUGGAAGCAGCAAAAGGAAAACUGAAAAAGACAAGGAAGAAGCCACUUCCCAUCGCAGGCAUGCUCCAGAGCCCAAAACUCCCCCUCCAAAACACUAUAGCAAGGUAUAUAAACUUCUGCAUAAAACUAUGUCAUUUUACCUUUUCAGAACUGCUACUUCCUACUUUUAAAACUUGAACUAACAGGUGUAUUUUAAUUAUUUUAUCAGUGAAAAACCAUGCCACCUAUGUUUUGCAAUAUAGUUGAAGCCAUUUUCUAUCACUGCAGCAAGCAUAUCCAUAACAGAUCGCUUUCCUUUUGCCUAUGUAAAUAAAAUGUACAUACCUAUAUUAUAGAACUUGGCUCCAACACCUAAUAUAUAAUUUUGGUUGUGCCACA